rnacentral:ncRNA from 3 species
AAGGGCACCACCAGGAGUGGA